AUUGCCUAGUAACGGCGAGUGAAGCGGCAACAGCUCAAAUUUGAAAUCUGGCCUUCGGGUCCGAGUUGUAAUUUGUAGAGGAUGCUUUUGGUGCGGUGCCUUCCGAGUUCCCUGGAACGGGACGCCAUAGAGGGUGAGAGCCCCGUCUGGUUGGAUACCAAUCCUCUGUAAAGCUCCUUCGACGAGUCGAGUAGUUUGGGAAUGCUGCUCUAAAUGGGAGGUAUAUGUCUUCUAAAGCUAAAUACCGGCCAGAGACCGAUAGCGCACAAGUAGAGUGAUCGAAAGAUGAAAAGCACUUUGAAAAGAGGGUUAAACAGUACGUGAAAUUGUUGAAAGGGAAGCGCUUGUGACCAGACUUGGGCAUGGUUAAUCAUCCAGCGUUCUCGCUGGUGCACUUGGCCUGCCCAGGCCAGCAUCAGUUCGGUGCGGGGGAUAAAGGCUUCGGGAAUGUGGCUCCUCCGGGAGUGUUAUAGCCCGUUGUGCAAUACCCUGCGCUGGACUGAGGUUCGCGCAUCUGCAUGGAUGCUGGCGUAAUGGUCAUCAGCGACCCGUCUUGAAACACGGACCAAGGAGUCGUCCUCGUAUGCGAGUGUUCGGGUGUUAAACCCCUACGCGUAAUGAAAGUGAACGCAGGUGAGAGCUUCGGCGCAUCAUCGACCGAUCCUGAUGUUCUCGGAUGGAUUUGAGUAAGAGCAUACGGGGCCGGACCCGAAAGAAGGUGAACUAUGCCUGUAUAGGGUGAAGCCAGAGGAAACUCUGGUGGAGGCUCGCAGCGGUUCUGACGUGCAAAUCGAUCGUCAAAAUAUGGGCAUGGGGGCGAAAGACUAAU
rnacentral:rRNA from 1 species